rnacentral:tRNA from 1 species
ACCUGGCUGGCUCAGUUGUAAAGCGUAAGACUCUCGGUCUUGGGGUGGCAGGUUUUAGUCCUAUGUUGGGUG